rnacentral:SRP_RNA from 1 species
CGGCAGGCCUACACGACCAGCUCCUGUUGAACCCUCCCAGGGCCGGAAGGCAGCAAGAGUAGAUGGUUGUAGCGGUGCGAUGUAAUCAGCCUGCCUUUU